rnacentral:rRNA from 1 species
CCUACGGGAGGCAGCAGUGAGGAAUAUUGGUCAAUGGCCGGAAGGCUGAACCAGCCAUGCCGCGUGAAGGUCAGUGCCCUAUGGGCGUUAAACUUCUUUUGUGCGGGAGCAAUAAUGGUCACGUGUGGCCAGACGAGAGUACCGUACGAAUAAGCAUCGGCUAACUCCGUGCCAGCAGCCGCGGUAAUACGGGGGAUGCAAGCGUUAUCCGGAUUUAUUGGGUUUAAAGGGUGCGUAGGCUGGGAGGUAAGUCAGCGGUGAAAUGCCCCCGCUCAACGGGGUGAAGUGCCAUUGAUACUGGCUGGCUGGAAUGCGGAUGCCGUGGGAGGAAUGUGUGGUGUAGCGGUGAAAUGCAUAGAUAUCACACAGAACACCGAUUGCGAAGGCAUCUCACGAAUCCGCGAUUGACGCUGAUGCACGAAAGCGUGGGUAUCAAACAGGAUUAGAUACCCGAGUAGUC